rnacentral:lncRNA from 1 species
CUCCAUGGACCAAUCGGCAAUCACGGUGCGCUCCACAUUAUUUUUUCUGCACCACACCUAGUGCACAAAGAAUUACUCUUAGUAGGAAGCCAUGGGGAAGAUGAUACCUGGUUUCAUGAAAAGAACAUACUUUGGGGUCCAAACCUAGUACGAGGCAUAGGUUCUUGGGUCAUGUGUCAUGAGGACAUUGGUGCUUUUCACCAUGGACUUGGUC